CAGACGGGUCGAGGAGGGGUCAGGACGGGAGAAGGGAUGGGGUGGGGGUCCAGGAUUUGGGGAUGUGCAGCCUUCUGCUCAUUGGUUCUGGGCUCUGCUGACCCCGGCUGUGGCCUGAACGCUGACCCACCCUUCCUCUUGGCCCUCCUGACUUUCAGCCACUCCAGGAACCAUCAGCCCAGGACACUGACAACAGAGACUCCCAGGAAACCCUCCAGGAGCUGGAACCGCCGAGGGGAGCGUGGGCUUGGAGGACGUGCCGUCUUGGGCGGGGGCCCUACCCUCCCAGCGGCUCCUGGACCAAGGGGACCAUGUGUAGGGACCCCCGUGGGUGAAGCUGCUAGUGACACAUGGUGACACGCAGAGGCUUUGAGGGUUCUGGGGUCAAGUCUCAGAUUAGCUAAGGUUUUCCGUUCAACCCAAACCUAUCUGAGACCCCAACUGUCCGCAAGACGAGGGACAAAGACCACAACCUCAGGAGCCAGAAGAGGCCGAACAGCCCAGUAGAGGUGGAGCCCACGGGUUGAGGUGACCAGCAGAGACCCCGAGCUGGUGCCCUGGGAUCCCUCAUGAGAAAGCACUUGAUGGAGGAGGCGUGGGCCACCCCGCCCAGCUCUGAACACCACUCACCCACCCACCUGGAGCCCCGGUCCUCCUCAGCGUCGCAGAAAUGAUGUCACGUGCGAGGGCACGCAUAGAUGUGUAUAUGUGUGUGCACAUGUGUGUGUGUAUCUGUGUGAGGAGGCUGAGACGGGCAGCGGCUAUGGCCUCCGAGCUCAGAGUGACCCCUGGCUGGGCCCUCAGCAGAGUCACCAGGGGCAUCUGGGGAGCUAGUGUGCGGAGCCCCCCGGCCGCUGGCAUCUGGGGGCUCAGGACACGGCCGUGGGAAGAGAUGGGUCAGACUGGACGAAUGUGGGAGCAGAGACACGGACGCUGGCUCUGUGGGAGGGGGUGCAGGGGGGCCCCGGGGGCUGGGAGGGGACGCCGGGGGCUGGGAGGGG
rnacentral:lncRNA from 1 species